rnacentral:misc_RNA from 1 species
GUGAAUCAUCGAAUCUUUGAACGCACCUUGCACCCUUUGGUAUUCCGAAGGGUACACCCGUUUGAGUGUCAUUGUAAUCUCACUUCAACCACUUUGGUGAUGUUGAAUGUGGACUUGGAUGUUGCUGUGUUUAACAGCUCAUCUGAAAUGCCUGAGUGUACCCUGCUUUGCAGCGUAUCAGUGUGAUAAACAUCUUCACUGUUAAGUCUUUAGAGACACGCUUGUGCUGCAGGCUCUAUGCUUCCAACCGUCUUAGGACAAUCUCUGACAAUUUGACCUCAAAUCGGGUGGGACUACCCG